GCGAAUCUCGAAAGCCUAUCUCAGUUCGGAUUGGAGGCUGAAACCCGCCUCCAUGAAGUUGGAUUCGCUAGUAAUCGCGCAUCAGCCAUGGCGCGGUGAAUACGUUCCCGGGCCUUGUACACACCGCCCGUCAAGCCAUGGGAGCCGGGGGUACCUGAAGUGCGUAACCGCAAGGAGCGCCCUAGGGUAAAACUGGUGACUGGGGCUAAGUCGUAACAAGGUAUC
rnacentral:rRNA from 1 species